UACGGAGGGUGCGAGCGUUGUCCGGAAUCACUGGGCGUAAAGGGCGCGUAGGCGGCCUGAUAAGUAGGGGGUGAAAUCCUGCGGCUUAACCGCAGGGCUGCCUUCUAAACUGUCAGGCUUGAGCACAGUAGAGGCAGGUGGAAUUCCCGGUGUAGCGGUGGAAUGCGUAGAGAUCGGGAAGAACAUCAGUGGCGAAGGCGGCCUGCUGGGCUGUUGCUGACGCUGAGGCGCGACAGCGUGGGGAGCAAACAGGG
rnacentral:rRNA from 1 species